rnacentral:lncRNA from 1 species
GCCACCGUGUCAGGAUCGUGGAUGGUGCCUAGGUAAGUAGUAGUGAUUCAAUAUUAAGCCAGCUGUAUUCUGCUAUCCUAGGAAAUCUAUGAGCUGUCAUUUAGCUGUCAUUAGCUGUCAUUAGAAGUAUAGAAGAGAAGGGGAUCGUGGCCUUGUGCUAGUCGGCUAUAAAAAUACAUUGUAACUCUGAUGUACGGGCAUGAAAUGAAAUAACAGAAAGUUACCAGAACCACAUACCUGUUCUCCUGGAAACUUACCAGGGUUCUAGCACCAGGAAGCUUGCUUCCACCAGAUCUGUUGCUACUCACGGUGUUUGGCGGUGCUCCAUCACCAACGGGUUGUGACAAUUGGUAUCAAAGCCGUCAAUCCUCGGCGGGGUGCGACGAAGGAGACCAGCUUGCUGCUGGGAAAGACAACGACUAGAAGACGAAGUGCUCUUCAUCGGAAGAUUGGAGUUGGACUCCAACAGGCAGCGGCAUCAACACCGUCUGCGACACAGACAAGAUUUCUUCUAGAAGCGAUGGCAACUUCGCAGAAGGAGGAGGAGAGGUGGGAGAAGAUGUGGCGCAUUCUGGACCGGCUAGACCACCAACUCGAGAAUUGGGAGGUGGGACAACACAGACUGCAGGGCCAGGCGGAACUGGUUACUGCGAGGAAGACGGAGGAGCAUGGUAGUCACAACUGCGUUCCAGUGAUACUUGGAGGUACCAAUUUCUCAGUGUUUGGUGAAAAGUCUGCUGAGAAGAUGGUAUGAGGUAGAGUAUUUGGUUCAGAUUCACAUGGCCUAGCGCAACAGCUAGCUCAUGGGGUGGGUGAUCAGUGGCACAAUAAUUGUGAGCAGGAUGUUGAACCUAAUGUCCCAUGGAUGUUUGUUGGAAUGCCACAACAAGCAAGUACAUACCCAGUGUCUAGUGAAAUGGGUCUUACAGUGGCAUGGGACGAGGAGAUGCAAGUUGAAACUCACACACAUGAGGGAUUACUGCAGCAACUUGCUCAAGGUGGAGAAGCUUUAGAAGAAUUGGCUGAGAAGAAGGGUGAUGUUGUAGAUGAGACCAGCAAGUCUGACCCAUCAAGUAUGGCAGUUGCUAUGGUUAUGAAAGUUGGAAGCAUGGAGGGGCUUCUUCCUGCUAGUGUUAUCAGUGUGCUUGGGGAAAGCCCUGAGAAGGAGCAGAAUGCUGAAAAUGUUGAUGCUACUAGUGCUGGUGGCAUCCUUUCUCAAGAUUUGGUUUCAGAAUCAACCCAUGAAACUAAUGGUGCAGGCGAGAUUAUAAGUGCCCCUAAGGUUGAUGAUGAGGAUUGGGAGAUACUACAGGUUAGAGAAAUCAGUGAAGAAGAGGUGGAAGAUUACUUUGUGGUAUCUCAAGAAGGGGCUGUGGAUGAGGUGAUGCAGGUUGAGUUAGCAGAUGGUGGGACUGGGGAAGAGGAAAUGCUCUGUGGAAAAGAAGUAGCAGGGAAUUUGGUGCAGGUGAUAGUUAUGAGUGCAGUAAGGUGGAUUUGUGAUGGUCAAGGUUUGCCCGAUGAAAUUCUUAGUAAAAUUCAGUGGGAUAAGGAGUUUUCAUCUAACCUGAGUAUGCGCAGAGGUUUACUUAGAGAUAUGGUUGUGGAAAGGAGUUAUCUCAAUGUUUUCCAUUCAGGUGAAGGGGUGCUGAUCAUAACACCAUCCCAGGGGUACCACCCUGAAGAGAUGCUAGAUCUCAGUUUGGUUGAUACUGACAUCUUAUGCAUUGUGAAGCUUCUAAAGGUUAACAAUAGCUUGCUACUUGAAGCACAUGGGUCUGGUUUUGUGUUGAUUUUUGAUGGGAGGCAGAACAAUGGCAGUGUUCAUUAUGUGAUAUUUGAGCUAACACAAGGGUGGCUACCUGCUUCUAGCCCAGGAAACAGUGAUAUGGCAUUUCAGUCACAACUGGACAUUCAACGAAAAUCCAUGAACAAGUUAAUGAGCUUACAGUUCAGAAUGGUGUAUGAUAAAGGCAAGGAGAACAUAGUAACUGAUGAUUAUGCUCAGGAUCUGUGGUCUAUGGUGACUGGUCACAUUUCAUGUCAGGAUGUAUUCUCAGGACAGAGGGUUGUUCCUUAUCACUGGUUCAAGAGUUUAUUUGGUUGGACAGAUCUGAAAAUCGGUGUUGAUCAGUUGGUAAGGCAGUGUCCAGUUUUCCAACAAACACAACAAGGGCAGCAGCUUCCUAUUGGGUCAUUGCAUCAGGCUUCCAUGGGUGGUUACUUCUUUAACUCAUUGUAUAGGUAUGCAGUCUUGGUGUUGGCAGUCCCUAUGAUCAAAGGGAGUGAGGACUUAUGGGUGGCUGUUUGGAUUCAACAGCAGGCUGCUGACAGUUCUGUGUUCAAAGAGCAAGGUACUCUAGACCAUAUAAAGUGUUGGCAAUGGUUGGGGCAAUGGCAUACCGUCUGCAACUUUCAGCCAAGGCACAUGAGGGUGAGGAAAUCUUCAACCACAGAUUUGGUGGGAAAAGGGCAAUGCAACAAUCGUGUUGGUUGUGCUCCGAGAGUCAGGCAUGUUGCUGGAGUUAUCUACUUGGAGGGAUUUUUAUGCCGUGCAGGCUCGUUUUCCUACUGUCCUUGCUUGGGGACAAGCAAGUUUUGGCGAAGGGGGUAAUGUCAGGAUCGUGGAUGGUGCCUAGGUAAGUAGUAGUGAUUCAAUAUUAAGCCAGCUGUAUUCUGCUAUCCUAGGAAAUCUAUGAGCUGUCAUUUAGCUGUCAUUAGCUGUCAUUAGAAGUAUAGAAGAGAAGGGGAUCGUGGCCUUGUGCUAGUCGGCUAUAAAAAUACAUUGUAACUCUGAUGUACGGGCAUGAAAUGAAAUAACAGAAAGUUACCAGAACCACAUACCUGUUCUCCUGGAAACUUACCAGGGUUCUAGCACCAGGAAGCUUGCUUCCACCAGAUCUGUUGCUACUCACGGUGUUUGGCGGUGCUCCAUCACCAACGGGU